rnacentral:lncRNA from 1 species
UUUUUUUUGUUUUUUCUUUGGAUAGGUUCAAAGGUCGGAGGUAUGGAUAAAUUUGAUUGCUUUCCAAAACGGGGUUCUCACCGGGUAUGAUCUAGGGCUUUGUUACAAAGGAUCCCCAGAGUCAUUGAUUCACAAGAAUGUUUGACGCUUACGGGAAAUACUUCCCGGUCGUCAACUCCAUCAAGGGAAUCUAUUCUGGGUGAGGUUCUCGUACCGACCCUUACGAAGUAUUCACUUCGGGAGUCCGUACUACGCAACCAUCGACUGGGUUCUAGACAGGGUACUCAGAGUCAUGGAUUCAAAAGACUGUUUGACGCUUACGGAAAAUACUUUCCGGUCGUCAACUCCAUCUAGGGAAUCUAUUCUGAGCGAGGUUCUCG